CCUACGGGUGGCAGCAGUGGGGAAUAUUGGGCAAUGGGCGCAAGCCUGACCCAGCAACGCCGCGUGAAGGAAGAAGGCUUUCGGGUUGUAAACUUCUUUUCUGGGGGACGAACAAAUGACGGUACCCCAGGAAUAAGCCACGGCUACCUACGUGCCAGCAGCCGCGGUUAUACGCAGGUGGCAAGCGUUAUCCGGAUUUAUUGGGUGUAAAGGGCGUGUAGGCGGGAAUGCAAGGCAGAUGUGAAAACUCAGGGCUCAACCCUGAGCCUGCAUUUGAAACUGUGUAUCUUGAGUGCUGGUGAGGAGAGCGGAAUUCCAGGUGUAGCGGUGAAAUGCGUAGAUAUACGGAGGAACACCAGUGGCGAAGGCGGAUUGCUGGACAGUAACUGACGCUGAGGCGCGAAAGCGUGGGGAGCAAACAGGAUUAGAUACCCCAGUAGUC
rnacentral:rRNA from 1 species